AUGCAUAAGCAGAGAGAGAAAUAGAAGAAGGAGGAGGAUGAGUAAGAGGAGAAGAUGGUUUUUUUGUGCUCUUUUUGGAGGGUUGAGUUCUUUUCUUUUGAGUUUUUAACUGUUUUUGCUGUUCUUGUUCAAUUUCUUG
rnacentral:ribozyme from 13 species